rnacentral:rRNA from 1 species
CUAACACAUGCAAGUCGAACGGUAAAUACUAUAGCAAUAUGGUAUGAGAUGACGCACGGGUGCGUAACACGUAUGCAACCUACCCAAGACAGGAGGAUGCUCAGGGAAACUUGGAUUAACCCUCCAUAAGAUCGUAGAGUGGCAUCAUUAGCGAUAAAAACAUUAGUGGUUUUGGAUGGGCAUGCGCAUGGGGGGUAGUUGGUAGUGUAACGGACUACCAAGACGAUGAUCAUUAGGGGACCUGAAGGGUGAUCCCCCACACUGGCACUGAGAUACGGGCCAGAGUCCUACGGGGGCAGCAGUGGGGAAUAUUGGACAAUGGGGGAAACCCUGAUCCAGCCAUCCGCGUGAGUGAAGAAGGCCCUUAGGUUGUAACAGCCCUGCCAGGGGGGCGAUGAUG